UUGCAUGAUGAAACGGCACUGGGCUCCGACAUUGCAUGAGCAGAUAUGCCACUUCUGCGACAGGCCUAGAAAACCUCGUCCACUGAUC
rnacentral:snoRNA from 1 species